rnacentral:rRNA from 1 species
UCGCCAGACUCCUACGGGAGGCAGCAGUGAGGAAUAUUGGUCAAUGGCCGAGAGGCUGAACCAGCCAAGUCGCGUGAGGGAAGACGGCCCUACGGGUUGUAAACCUCUUUUGUCGGGGAGCAAAGCGAGUCACGUGUGACUCAUUGAGAGUACCCGAAGAAAAAGCAUCGGCUAACUCCGUGCCAGCAGCCGCGGUAAUACGGAGGAUGCGAGCGUUAUCCGGAUUUAUUGGGUUUAAAGGGAGCGUAGGUGGAUUGUUAAGUCAGUUGUGAAAGUUUGCGGCUCAACCGUAAAAUUGCAGUUGAAACUGGCAGUCUUGAGUACAGUAGAGGUGGGCGGAAUUCGUGGUGUAGCGGUGAAAUGCUUAGAUAUCACGAAGAACUCCGAUUGCGGAGGCAGCAUACGGCAGCGCUACUGACGCUGAAGCUCGAAGGCGCGGGUAUCGAACAGGAUUAGAUACCCUGGUA